GAUGAAGAACGUAGCGAAAUGCGAUAAGUAAUGUGAAUUGCAGAAUUCAGUGAAUCAUCGAAUCUUUGAACGCACCUUGCGCUCUUUGGUAUUCCGAAGAGCAUGCCUGUUUGAGUGUCAUGAAAAUAUCAACCUUGACUUGGGUUUUGUGCUCUAGUCUCGGCUUGGAAUUGGGUGCUUGCCGCUUUUACGAGCGGCUCACCUUAAAUGUAUUAGCUGGAUCUGUCUUUGAGACUUGGUUUGACUUGGCGUAAUAAGUAUUUCGCUAAGGACAUUCUUCGGAGUGGCCUCUUUUCUAGGACGCUUGUCCGCUUUCCAAUACAAGUUCCACCUCGUGGACAUGACUUUUUAUUAUCUGGCCUCAAAUCAGGUAGGACUACCCGCUGAACUUAAGCAUAUCAAUAAGCGGAGGA
rnacentral:misc_RNA from 1 species